GCAUCUACCCAGCACGGGGAGGUCUGGUGAGGGGUGAGGAACCAGCACAGAGAAGCCUGCGCUGCAUUCGGAGCACCUCAGAGUAGGGGAUGGAAAAGGGGCAGGAGUAACAGAGCCAAGGUGUGAAAUGAGUAGUGGCCAGGCCUGUGGCCACCUAGACGCAAGCUACAGUAACGGGGCAGCAGGUAGGAUCUACGACAGGGUGUGGAUGACAGAGGGAGGGAGACUGGCGGAGUGAGAAGACAGCCUGAGGACGGGAGCCAUAGAUAAAGGCUGGGUCAGGAAGCGCAGGAAGGCCCGUGAGCGGAGGGCAGGGGACGCACCUGGAACCCAGCCAGUCUCAUCAGAAAAUCAGAAACACCGGGAAGCAUGCUGACCAUGGGGCAGCUAGUGUGCUCCAUGAAGGGGGCAUGGGCUGUGAACUCUGUCCGGUACCCUCCUCCCCUUCUUCUUUUGGUAACAGAAGCCUCCUUGUUUUCACUGGGCACGCGGCUGCCUUGCUAGGAAGGCCGUAUUUCCAACUCCCUUGCAGUUCAAUGUGACUAUGUGGCUAAAUUCUGACCAACAGGACUUAAGCACGAGUGUUAUGUGCAAUGUCCAAACACAGCCUCUCAGGGAGCAGUUUGCCCUCUGUGGAAGGCAGGAUGCGAGCCCCCAAAGAUGUCCACAUGCUGCUCUCCAGAACCUGUGGACGUGUUACGUGGCGAGGAGGAUUGAGUCCACAGGUGGAGGUGCUAGCAGCUCCCGGAGAUGAGAUUAGCCCGGCCCGUGGUGCUGGGCCCAGUUAAAAUGGGAGCAGGAGGCCGACGGGCAUGCGAGUCAGAAAAGGCCGUGUGGGGAGGACGUGGGCUGCUGCUGCUGCUUCAGAGAAGGACAGCCCCUAAAAGCUGGAGAAUCCCAUGAAGGGUUCCCCUCAUGCCAAGCUUUCAGAAUGGAUGGAGCCAGGCCCUGAUUCCAGCCUGGUGAUACCCAUGUUGAAUUUCUGCAGAACUCUCCAGAAAUCAAGGAAACUGUAUGAAACUUAAUACACGAGAAUAUUUCACAAGAAUAUUUGUUCAUAGAGAAGUUUGGAAGUAUUCCUAAAAAGAAAAGCCAUGUUUUAAGUGGAGCCUACAAAGAUGUGUGGCAGUUCACAAACCCGACAAGGUCACAGAGGGCCCAUGUAGCAGAGAAGAAAGUCAUAAAAUAUAGACAAGGCGCAAAUGAGAGAAUAACAGUCAAGCCCAUGCCCUGAACGCCUUCAGAUGGGGCUGCAGCAGAGGGGGCAGAGGGGCGAGGCUGGAGCGAGGGAACAGCAGGAGUAGAAGGGGGGAAGGAAGUUGAGCACGUUUGUGCACUACAGCCCUGAUCUUAGAAGACUGAGGACUGCACACUUUUGGAAGAAAAGCAAGAAAGGUGAAGGUGGGAUUGCAGGUGGGUGGACCAGUCAGAGAGCAAUACCACCAUGCCAUCCCCUGUGCACACCACAAACUUCCCUUUCUUUCUUGAGCGUACUGGGCAUUGAACUUGGGGGCCUCCCACUGAGCCAUCUCCCCAGCCCUUUUUGCAUUUUGAGACAGGGUCUCACUAAGUCACUACAUUGCCCAGGCUGGGCUCAAGCCUCCCAGAGUGCUAGGAUGACAGGUGUUCUCCACCACGCCCAACUCCAUCUGUGCACAAAUCCUCCCAUUUCCUCCCUGUUACAUUUACUGACGAGAGUGAGGCGAUCAGAAGACCAGCAUGUUUUGAAGGGUGUGGAAGGGGAUUCGAACUUGGCAUGGAAGUGGGCCCUGAUCAAGGCCGGGUGGCCAGGAAGAGAGGGCUCAGGGUCAGGUGGAGAAAAAGCAGAGCAGUGCUUGCCGCCUGUGUGGAU